rnacentral:rRNA from 1 species
UACGGGGGGGGCAAGCGUUGUCCGGAAUCAUUGGGCGUAAAGAGCGUGUAGGCGGCUUGGUAAGUCCGCUGUGAAAGUCCAGGGCUCAACCCUGGAAUGCCGGUGGAAACUGUCAAGCUUGAGUCCGGAAGAGGCGAGUGGAAUUCCUGGUGUAGCGGUGAAAUGCGCAGAUAUCAGGAGGAACACCAAUGGCGAAGGCAGCUCGCUGGGACGGUACUGACGCUGAGACGCGAAAGCGUGGGGAGCAAACAGG